CGCGUAGGCGGCCUGGGCAGUCCUGGGUGAAAGCCCCCGGCUCAACCGGGGAAGGGCCUGGGAAACCACUGGGCUGGAGUGCUGGAGAGGGAGGCGGAAUUCCUGGUGUAGCGGUGAAAUGCGUAGAGAUCAGGAGGAACAUCGGCGGCGAAGGCGGCCUUCUGGACAGACACUGACGCUGAGGCGCGAAAGCCGGGGGGAGCAAACAG
rnacentral:rRNA from 1 species